rnacentral:rRNA from 1 species
GACGAACGCUGGCGGCGUGCUUAACACAUGCAAGUCGAACGGAAAGGCCCUGCUUUUGUGGGGUGCUCGAGUGGCGAACGGGUGAGUAACACGUGAGUAACCUGCCCUUGACUUUGGGAUAACUUCAGGAAACUGGGGCUAAUACCGGAUAGGAGCUCCUGCUGCAUGGUGGGGGUUGGAAAGUUUCGGCGGUUGGGGAUGGACUCGCGGCUUAUCAGCUUGUUGGUUGGGUAGUGGCUUACCAAGGCUUUGACGGGUAGCCGGCCUGAGAGGGUGACCGGCCACAUUGGGACUGAGAUACGGCACAGAGUCCUACGGGAGACAGCAGUGGGGAAUAUUGCACAAUGGGCGGAAGCCUGAUGCAGCAACGCCGCGUGCGGGAUGACGGCCUUCGGGUUGUAAACCGCUUUCGCCUGUGACGAAGCGUAAGUGACGGUAAUGGGUAAAGAAGCACCGGCUAACUACGUG